rnacentral:rRNA from 1 species
AUGCACGCUGGCGGCGUGCCUAACCCAUGCAAGUCGAGCGGCAGCGAGGGGUGCUUGCACCCUGUCGGCGAGCGGCGGACGGCUGAGUAACGCGUGGGAACGUGCCCCAAAGUGAGGAAUAACUGCCCGAAAGGGUAGCUAAUACCGCAUAUUAUCUUCGGAUCAAAGGAUUUAUCCGCUUUGGGAGCGGCUCGCGUCGGAUUAGGUAGUUGGUGAGGUAAUGGCUCACCAAGCCGACGAUCCGUAGCUGGUCUGAGAGGAUGACCAGCCAGACUGGAACUGAGACACGGUCCAGACUCCUACGGGAGGCAGCAGUGAGGAAUCUUCCACAAUGGGCGAAAGCCUGAUGGAGCAACGCCGCGUGCAGGACGAAGGCCUUCGGGUUGUAAACUGCUUUUAUAAGUGAGGAAUAUGACGGUAACUUAUGAAUAAGGAUCGGCUAACUACGUG